rnacentral:tRNA from 1 species
GCCAGUGUAGCAGAGUGGUUUGAGUGUUGGACUGCAACUCUGGGGACAAGGGUUCAAUUCCCCGCUUGGCCA